GACGAACGCUGGCGGCGUGCUUAACACAUGCAAGUCGAACGAAGUGGCGAACGGGUGAGUACUACGUGAGUACCCUGCCCUCCUUUUUGGGAUACGCCUUGGAAACGGGGUCUAAUACCGCAUAAAGGGGGAUGGGCUCGCGUCCUAUCAGCUUGUUGGUUGGGUGAUGGCCUACCAAGGCGGUGCCGGGUAGCCGGCCUGAGAGGGUGACCGGCCACAUUGGGACUGAGAAACGGCCCAGACUCCUACGGGAGGCAGCAGUGGGGGAUAUGGCGCAAUGGGCGAAAGUCUGACGCAGCGACGACGCGUGGGUGAUGAAGGCUUUCGGGUUGUAAAGCUCUGUUGUUAAGGAAGGAGGACUGAACUAGAAAGGGACGGCUAACUACGUGCCAGCAGCCGCGGUAAUUC
rnacentral:rRNA from 1 species